AUACCUUAGUUUUAGGCAACAUUAAUUUCCUUAUAUGAAUCAAAAACCACAACUUGUAGAAAUAAUCUGGAUAAGGGUAAAUCUCUUGCCCCACACUACACCCUUUUGCAUUACAUUUUGGAUUAUUUUUAAGCUCCUCUCAAAGACAAAACCACACACCCCUAUUUCUACUCAACAAACAGCUCUAUUUUCUUCCCCUUGGUUCCUAGCACAUGAGCUUUCUUGUUUGCUCGUUUAAUCGGGAAGGGUCCGUUUGUUGAAAUAAAAAGUUGAAAUCUUGGAGAUAUGUCUUGUUGUUUGAAGGCUGGAUGCUGUGUUUAUGGGUCCAAUGAUCUUACUUUCAAGAACAGAGCAAAAGGGUUUGUUCUUCAAUUCAGACUCUUCAUUUUAAGGAGUCAUCAAAUCCCAGAGAAUGUUUAGGCAAAACCCUUCAUUUGUUUGAUCAGAAACCAGCUGCUAAUUUAGUCAUUGAAUACUCAAAUCAGACCCUUCCAUUGCAUGGUGGGAGAAAAUUCCCCAUCAAAACAUGAUAGAGAUUGAAUCAGCUCAAGAACUUGUGGAUUCAUUGUUGAAUGGUGGUGGGAGAUUGAUUGUAUUAGAUUUCUACUCCCCUGUUUGUGGAGGUUGUAGAACUUUGCAUCCAAAGGUACAAUCUUUAGUGUCAAAACAUUACUUUUUUUCUACUCCUAUUAUUGAUUAUUGAUUAUUGCCUAAUUUGCUGAAAUGAACCCUGAUUCCCUUUUCCUCCAAAUUAACUAUGAUGAUCACAAGGAGAUGUGUGAUGCCCUACAGCUGCACCAAUGCAACGAUCAAGAAAUUCAAGGAUGCAUUGGCUAGACAUGGCAGUAGCUCGAUGAGUCUCAGAUCUGCGAAGGGGCUGUAUGAAUCGGAGCUGGCUGCAUUGGCCUCUCGAGGUCUGAUUUCAAGAAAUUUGGUGGGGAAUGAUUCAUCAAAGGGUUGUGGAAGGGAAGAAGAGGGUGUGUUCAGCAUGAGAAGAUGACAUGUUGGUAGAGGUGUGAAUGAGGGCAAUGAAAUGAAUGCCAUGUUGUUGGAUUAGAGAAUAAGAUCCUUUGUUAUGGAAUUGGUCAUUACAUAUUCUUUAUUUAUCUUUUAUUUUGGCUCAAAUGUAAAUAAUUAUUCAUCAAUGGAGUCCUUAUUUCCAUCCUUCA